rnacentral:antisense_RNA from 3 species
GUUCAGGUUCAAGUCAGCCCCCGUUUUGUUGCCAGGUUUAUACCGAACAACGUGCGGGGGUUUUCU